GGGAGAUUAGCUCAGUCUGGCAGAGCACUUGCUCGACAAGCAAGGGGCCACAAGUUCAAAUCUUGUAUCUCCCACAA
rnacentral:tRNA from 1 species